CCUACGGGAGACUGCAGUGGGGGAUAUUGCACAAUGGGGGAAACCCUGAUGCAGCGACGCCGCGUGUGGGAAGACGGUCCUCUGGAUUGUAAACCACUGUCCCCAGGGACGAAGAUGACGGUACCUGGGGAGGAAGCUCCGGCAAACUACGUGCCAGCAGGCGCGGUAAUACGUAGGGAGCGAGCGUUGUCCGGAAUUAGUGGGUGUAAAGGGAGCGUAGGCGGGACUGCAAGUUGGAUGUCAAAUCUACCGGCUCAACCGGUAGCCGCACUCACAACGGCAGUUCUUGAGUGCAGGAGAGGCAGGCGGAAUUCCUAGUGUAGCGGUGAAAUGCGUAGAUAUUAGGAGGAACACCAGUGGCGAAGGCGGCCUGCUGGGCUUUUACUGACGCUGAGGCUCGAAAGUGUGGGGAGCAAACAGGAUUAGAUACCCGUGUAGUC
rnacentral:rRNA from 1 species